UGGGUUUUCAUUACAAAAGACUAAGGCAAA
rnacentral:piRNA from 1 species